AGGGUCUACGGCGGAUGCCUUGGAGCUGUUCGGCGAGGAAGGACGUGGUAAGCUGCGAAAAGCUGCGGGAAGGAGCAAACAUCCUAUGAUCCGCAGGUCUCCGAAUGGGGUAACCCAGCAGAUUAGAAUAUCUGUUAUUAUAUAGUGAAUAAAUAGCUAUAUAAGGUCAUACUGUGGGAACUGAACCAUCUAAGUACCACAAGGAAAAGAAAUCAAAAGAGAUUCCCUAAGUAGCGGCGAGCGAAACGGGAAGAGACUAAACCAAUUAUGUGUAAGAUUUGCAUCGUUGCAUAGUUGGGGUUGCAGGAUUGUAUCAGAGGAGGUGCAAAACUCUUCGCAUAAAAUGUAAAUAACUAUGUGGAUACAACACCUAAGUACGACGGGACACGAGUAAUCUUGUCGGAAUCUGGGGAGCCCACUCUCCAAGUCUAAAUACGAAACAGCUACCGAUAGCGAAUAGUACCGUGAGGGAAUGGUGAAAAGAACCCCGGAAGGGGAGUGAAAUAGAACCUGAAACCGUAGACCUACAAGCGGUCAAAGCCACAUAAGUGGUGAUGGCGUGCCUUUUGUAGAAUGAGCCUGCGAGUUAAUUUAUGUAGCGAGGUUAAGAGAUAGAAGUCUUGAAUCCGAAGGGAAACCGAGUCUGAAAAGGGCGUUUAGUUGCAUGGAUUAGACCCGAAGCCAAGUGAUCUAUUUAUGGUCAGGUUGAAGCUUGAGUAAAAUCAAGUGGAGGACCGAACACUAGUCUGUUAAAAAAGGCAGUGAUGAACUGUGAAUAGGGGUGAAAGGCCAAACAAACUUGGAGAUAGCUGGCACUCCUCGAAAUAGCUUUAGGGCUAGCCUUGAUUUAAUAAUAUUGGAGGUAGAGCACUGAAUGGGCUAGGGCCUGUCAAAGGGUACCAAACCUAAUCAAACUCCGAAUGCCAAUAUUCAAUAAUCAGGAGUCAGACUGCGGGUGAUAAGAUUCGUGGUCGAAAGGGAAAGAGCCCAGACCGUCAGCUAAGGUCCCUAAAUUAUACUAAGUGGAAAAGGAAGUUAGAUGGCAAAGACAGCCAGGAGGUUGGCUUAGAAGCAGCCACUCCUUUAAAGAGUGCGUAAUAGCUCACUGGUCGAGUCGUUUAGCGCCGAUAAUGUAACGGGGCUAAGUAUAAUACCGAAGCUACGGAAUCAAUGUAAAUUGGUUGGUAGAGGAGCAUUCCCUAUGUUGAUGAAGGUGUAUUGUGAAGUAUGCUGGAGAUAUGGGAAGAGAGAAUGCAGGCAUGAGUAACGAUAAAAUAGGUGAGAUUCCUAUUCGCCGAAAGCAUAAGGUUUCCAGGGUAAAGUAAAUCUGCCCAUGGGUUAGUCGACCCCUAAGAUAAGGCUGAAAAGCGUAGUCGAUGGGAAACAGGUUAAUAUUCCUGUACCUCUUAUAGUUUCGAAGGAAUGACGCAUGAAGCGAAGCUGAGCACGGCGAUGGUUGUCCGUGUUUAAACAACAAGCUGUUGAGUGAUGUAGGCAAAUCCGCAUUAUGAGGUAAGUUGUAAAGACGAGUGGACCUACGGGAAAGCGAAGUCAGUGGAGUUAUGGUGCCGAGAAAUAAUUUCUAAGGUUAGGCUAUAAGGGAUCGUACCGAGAACCGACACAGGUAUGCGGGAUGAAUAUUCUAAGGCGUACGGAAGAAUUCGCGUUAAGGAACUCGGCAAAAUGCAUACGUAACUUAGGGAUAAGUAUGGCCUACUGAGUUAAUCAGAGGUUGCAGAGAAAUGGCUCAAGCGACUGUUUAUCAAAAACACAGGUCUAUGCGAAAUUGCAAAAUUUGAAGCCCCAGUAAACGGCGGCCGUAACUAUAACGGUCCUAAGGUAGCGAAAUUCCUUGUCGGGUAAGUUCCGACCCGCACGAAUGGUGUAACGACUUGAGCGCUGUCUCAACGCGAAAUCCGGUGAAAUUGAAGUAACGGUGAAGAUGCCGUUUACCCACAGUUAGACGGAAAGACCCCGUGAACCUUUACUGCAGCUUGGCACUGAAAAUUGGCAUAACAUGUGUAGGAUAGGUGGGAGACUUUGAAGUAUGGUCGCUAGGCUGUACAGAGUCGUUGGUGAAAUACCACCCUUUUUAUGUUAGUUUUCUAACGGGUACCAUAAUCUGGUAUCUGGACAAUGUCAGGUGGGCGGUUUGACUGGGGCGGUCGCCUCCUAAAGAGUAACGGAGGCGCGCGAAGGUAACCUUAUCCUGGUUGGGAAUCAGGAGGUAAGUGUAAAGGCAAAAGGUUGCUUGACUGCGAGACUUACAAGUCGAGCAGGUACGAAAGUAGGUCUUAGUGAUCUGGCGGUAGCGACAAAAGGUACUCCGGGGAUAACAGGCUGAUUUUGCCCAAGAGUUCAUAUCGACGGCAAAGUUUGGCACCUCGAUGUCGGCUCAUCGCAUCCUGGGGCUAUCUGCUGUGGGCGUUGGAUGUUUGAGAGGGUCUGUUUUUAGUACGAGAGGACCAAAAUGGACGAACCUCUAGUGUAUCAGUUAUCACGCCAGUGGUACAAUGCUGAGUAGCUACGUUCGGAUGGGAUAACCGCUGAAAGCAUCUAAGUGGGAAACCCUCCUCAAGAUUAGACAUCCCAUAGUCUUUAAGACUACUAAAGAAUCCAGGAAGAACACCUGGUUGAUAGGUCGAAAGUGUAAGUAUAGUAAUAUAUUCAGCUUAUCGAUACUAAUAUUUCGUGAGGCUUGACCAU
rnacentral:rRNA from 1 species